GGUGUAGGCGGUUUGAAAAGUCGGGUGUGAAAGCCCAGGGCCCAACCCUGGAACUGCACCCGAUACUAUCAGGCUAGAGUCCCGGAGAGGGUGGCGGAAUUCCCGGUGUAGGGGUGAAAUCCGUAGAUAUCGGGAGGAACACCAGUGGCGAAGGCGGCCACCUGGACGGUGACUGACGCUGAGACUCGAAAGUGUGGGUAGCAAACAGGAUUAGAUACCCUGGUAGUCC
rnacentral:rRNA from 1 species